UACGGAGGGAGCUAGCGUUGUUCGGAAUCACUGGGCGUAAAGCGCACGUAGGCGGCUUUGUAAGUUAGAGGUGAAAGCCCGGGGCUCAACUCCUGAACUGCCUUUAAGACUGCAUCGCUUGAAUCUGGGAGAGGUAAGUGGAAUUCCGAGUGUAGAGGUGAAAUUCGUAGAUAUUCGGAAGAACACCAGUGGCGAAGGCGGCUUACUGGACCAGAAUUGACGCUGAGGUGCGAAAGCGUGGGGAGCAAACAGG
rnacentral:rRNA from 1 species